rnacentral:rRNA from 1 species
UACAGAGGUCCCAAGCGUUGUUCGGAUUCACUGGGCGUAAAGGGUGCGUAGGCGGUCGGGUAAGUCUGAUGUGAAAUCUCACAGCUUAACUGUGAAACUGCAUUGGAUACUAUUCGGCUUGAGAGUUGGAGGGGGGACUGGAAUUCUUGGUGUAGCAGUGAAAUGCGUAGAUAUCGGGAGGAACACCAGUGGCGAAGGCGGCUUCCUGGCCUGUUCUUGACGCUGAGGCGCGAAAGCUAGGGGAGCAAACGGG